AGAAGUAGAGCUCAGUGGUAGAGCAUGUGCUUGGCAUGUGCAAGGUCCUGGGCUCAAUCCCCAGUACCUCCA
rfam:Camelus ferus unplaced genomic scaffold scaffold1118, whole genome shotgun sequence.